UUGAAAACUCUGGAGACUGAAAUCUAUUUUUCCACAGAACAGAUGCAGCAAGUGUAGCAACAGCGUAAGCUUCCCAAACUACCCCACCAACAUGACUCAAUCUGGACCUGGAGUGGCUUCCUACAGGCAGAAAAUACAGCUUAUUCUCCCUGGUCCACUAAAUCCUUCAUUUUU
ensembl:misc_RNA